rnacentral:rRNA from 1 species
UACGUAGGGUGCAAGCGUUGUCCGGAAUUAUUGGGCGUAAAGAGCUCAUAGGCGGUUUGUCGCGUCUGCUGUGAAAACUCGGGGCUUAACUCCGGGCCUGCAGUGGGUACGGGCAGACUAGAGUGCGGUAGGGGAGACUGGAAUUCCUGGUGUAGCGGUGAAAUGCGCAGAUAUCAGGAGGAACACCGGUGGCGAAGGCGGGUCUCUGGGCCGUAACUGACGCUGAGGCGCGAAAGCUAGGGGAGCAAACAGG